UGAUUAAGCCAUGCAAGUACUGCACAGGAAUUGGCGGGGGAGCAAGGGAGCAGGAAUUGGCGGGGGAGCAAGGGAGCAGAAAUUGGCGGGGGAGCAAGGCUGAAACUUAAAGGAAUUGGCGGGGGAGCAAGGCUGAAACUUANA
rnacentral:rRNA from 1 species